CAGAGCUGCUCAACUCUGCCAGAAACAUACCUGGAAUCAACACAACAGGCGUGUCUAACUGGGGUGGGUAUGCAGUGUCUUGUGGUCUGUUCCUGCUCCAGUCCUGCCCUUCACAUCAAAGAUACUUAAAGAAGGGACUGACCCAGGAGGAGAGAGAGACACAGGAGAGCUCAGAACUGCCCACUGUGGACAAGGUGGAAUCCUUGGGCGAGAAAGCAGACAUUCAGAUUAUUACUCAAUUACUGCAAGUGACUUUAGACCAGAACCUGCACACAUCCUGAUUCACAAUGUAUUAUUUUGUACUAUUUCAAGUGUAAUUACAUGUAGCUGCGAAUGCUUUCUCUGGACAUAUGAGGAAGAAUGUGAUUGGUCAAACAGGUAUACACACUUUAAAUGUGCAUUGUUUAACUUUUCUAAUACAGGGUCUCCCACCUGCUUGUCUCCAUGGAAAUGAUUGUUUUGCCUUGGAUAUUACACAGUAUUAGCCGCAUUAAACAUCUAGUCAGCAUUUCUUUAAUUACAGGUGUUUUUAUUGCUACAAAAAAACAUGUUAUGUAUAUGUACCUCUCCACAGAUCUGAGCUCUAACUUGGAUCGUGCCACCUGUGUGUCUCCGUGGAGUCACAUAAUGUCACACUGUGGAACAUUCCAGGGAAAGCAAUAGCCUCUCUAUGGGGACAAACAGGAAAGUUAUGCAAUGCACAUUUAAAUGACGAGGCUCACAACAGCAGUUACAGAAAAACAUUUUUUCAGUGUAAAGUUAACUGGAGCCAGAGUUGAUGGAGCCCGAUGGAGACAUAGCUAACCCACUAGCCGGGUUAGCUAUCUCCAUUUAGAUAUACAGUCUAUGGUUUGCACUAAAAUUGCCUUGGAGACUUGGAACAGUAGAAAAUACUAUUAAAACACCACCUACACAGUUUAGUAGCAAAAAAAGGUUGAUUUCGUGUUUAAUUAUACAUCUAGUUGGAUACUGCGGCUGUUAUGUGAUGUUAUAACUAUUUCUUUGAAAGACUACGUGUACAAAGCAUUGAUUUUCGGCUGAAGGCGUUACCGUGGUUACCAUUGUGUAUUCAGACUACAUCUUUUCUCUCAGAUUGGCUUUCAUCUGUUUUGUCAUUACAUCUGACAGCCAUAAGUGGGUCUAAGUAAGCCACCAGUUUGAAGACUUCUAACUUAUGUGUUUCCAUGGUUACAACCUAUUAAAAUAGGCUAUAGACCACAGUUGGUGCCAAUUACGUGUAUGUGUUUCAGUUGGGUUAUUUGUCUUACACUCAC